GAUGAACGCUGGCGGCGUGCUUAACACAUGCAAGUCGAACGGAAGGAUUAAGCGGAAGUUUUCGGAUGGAAGCUUAAUACUUUAGUGGCGGACGGGUGAGUAACGCGUGGGUAACCUGCCGUAUACAGGGGGAUAACACUUAGAAAUAGGUGCUAAUACCGCAUAAGCGCACGGUGUCGCAUGACACAGUGUGAAAAGCCGAGACGGUAUACGAUGGACCCGCGCCUGAUUAGCUAGUUGGUGGGGUAGAGGCCUACCAAGGCGACGAUCAGUAGCCGGCCUGAGAGGGUGACCGGCCACAUUGGGACUGAGACACGGCCCAAACUCCUACGGGAGGCAGCAGUGGGGAAUAUUGCACAAUGGGGGAAACCCUGAUGCAGCGACGCCGCGUGAGUGAAGAAGUAAUUCGUUAUGUAAAGCUCUAUCAGCAGGGAAGAAGAAGACGGUACCUGACUAAGAAGCCCCGGCUAACUACGUG
rnacentral:rRNA from 1 species